AUUCCCGCCAUUUACAGCCGAGCGAACGAGGGCGUGUCACAACUCAUUCGGUCCCGCUGCCUAGAUGGGCGAGCCAACCAGAAGCGUGCUGCUGCCCUUUUCACUCCCACUAUGCGGCAGGUUCCAGGUUCUUGUUCUGUGACCAGAAGAAUGAGGAGACAAGUUGUGAUGUUCCCCAAGCUGAUCUCAAAUACUCGGCCUCAAGUUAUCCCCCCACCUCAGCCUCCCAGGUUGAGAUUGCAGGUACACACCAGCACGUCUGUCUUUGUGAACCUAUUGGAAGAAUCAUAUGGCUAGAGUGCAAUGGCGCCGUCUCGACUCACUGCAACCUCAGACUCCAGAGUUCAAAUGAUUCUUCUGCCUCAGCCUCCUGAGUAGCUGAGACUACAGCUGCACAUCACCACAACCCAGCUAAUUUUUGUAUUUUUAGUAGAGACAGGGCUUCACUAUGUUGGCCAGGCUAGUCUUGAACUCCUGACUUCAUGAUUCUCCCACCUCAGCCUCCCAAAGUGCUGGGAUUACAGGAGUGAACCACAGCGCCUGGCUGAAAUUAUUUUUUAUAAUUAAAUUUAAACCUAAUCUUGACAUAUGUUUCAACUCUAAUGUUGUAAGGAAUCAUAAACAUCUUUCUGUAAACCUACAUCCCUCAUGAACUGGGUAUACAAGUUUUGAUCCCUUCUAACUUAGAAACACAUGCACACUAGCAUUAAAAUAAAGGACCCUGGUCUUUGUGUGUUC